GGAAUGUGAACAAAAAUAUUUAGGAUAAAGAAGUUUAAAAAUUAUAAGUUCUUUAUGGUCAUGUUCUAAAUAAAUUUGAAAAUCUGAAUGAAAUGGACUGUUCUCUAGGAAAAGAUCAAAAUUGGCUUAAGAAAUCUGCACUAGCAAACCGUUGCAGUCUUUUAUUUAUUUAUUUAAUUUUCUGUAGAGACAGGGUUUUGCCAUGUUGCCUGGACUGGUCUUGAACUCCUGAGCUCGAGCAGUCUUCCUGCCUCAGCCUUCCAGAAUGCUGGGAUUACAAGCAUGAACCAAUGUGCCUAGCCUACAGUCUUUUAUAAAAUUAUCAAAGAAUUCUUUUUUAAAAUGGCUGCAAGUCCAGGUGUUUUACAAGUGGAUUGUUUUAAAAUUUCAACAUGAAAUAUUUAAAGUUAUUUAAACUGUCCCAGAAGGUAGAAAAAUCAUCCAAAUUCAUUUUAUGCAGUUAGCAUGAAUCUGGUAUCAAACAGUUGGCAAAAUGAGAAAGAAUAAGAUUUAAAAGUCUCAAAGAAUUAUGGAGAAAUUAAUACCAACUGCAUAUGACAGAAACAUUAAUCCAUGAUUAAGUAGGGUAACAUACAUUCCAGAAAUACAAGAUUAACUUUCUAAUAGAAAAAUAUAUUUUGGCCAGGCUAAGUUUUUAGUAUAUUAUUAUUAUUUAAUCCUCAUAAUAACUUUGUGAGAUGGGUCUUUUAAUUGUUACCAUUUUAUAGAUCAAAAAAGAAAUGGGGUUAGGGAGAUCUGAGUGACUAAGCCGCUAUCAUUGUUGUGACUAGAGCUCUGUUAGUUGAAGGGGAGUGAGAGGGAAUUUGCAAUACUAGAUUUUUACCCAUAUUAGAGUUGUGACUAGAGUCCUUGAGUUUACCUCCUCUCUUCCAACCUUCAAAUUUAUUGGAAUAACAGAAGAAAUUUUCUAGAGUAAACAAUGUAAAAUAGAAGAUUUUUAUUUUCAGCAGGGUGGUGGACUAUAUCUAUUCUCCAGGUGCAGUGCAACUAAAAAUGUUAAGAGAACAUAAGCAUGUGGUUGAGCUGGUGGCAAAGUAAAACAGUUCCUUGGAGGCCAGACAUGAUAAGAAACAAAUCCAAAGCAAAAGAAAACAUUUUAAAAAACAGAAAUCAAUGAAAUUGAAAACAGGAAGUCAACACAACCAAAAGCUAUUUCUUUGAAAAGAUAAUAAAAUUAAUAAGCUUCCAGACAGGGUAACUUAAAAAAAAAAAACAACAACAAACAAAAACAAACAAAAAAAAAAACGAGAGAAGGCACAGAUUGCUAAUACCAAAAAUGAUAGAGGGGACAGUACUGUAGAUUCCAUGUUCAUAGAUAGGAAGACUCAAUAUUGUUAAGAUGUCUGUUCUUCCCAACUUGAUCUAUAGAUACAAUGGAAAUCCUAUUCAAAAUCCUAACAAGUUAUUUUGUGAGUACCAACUAACUUUCUCCCAUGAAUUAUGAACUUUCUUAAUGGCAUCCAGAAGGCUAAACUUCCUAGGUUUUCAUAGCUAGAGAGGAGCCAGGGAGGAGACAUCAAGGCCUGGCUUCAAAGCUUCAAAGGACAGGCUGACUCUCUUGUUAGAGUUUAAUGGAGCUGGUGACUUUGAAGGCAAUGCUCAUUUGCCAUUCUGUAAAUCCUAGGGCCCUUAAGAAUUAUGCUAAAUCUCCCCUGCCUGUACUCUAUAAAUGGAAGAACAAAGCCUGGAUGACAGCACAUCUGUUUACAGCAUCAUUUCCUGAAUACUUUAAGCCUGCUGUUGAGACCUACUGCUCAGAUAAAAAAAAGACUCCUCUGAAAACAUUACCACUUACUAACAGUGCACCCAGUGACCAAAGAGCUCUACCAUGGACAUGUACAAGAUUAAUGUUUCCAUGCCUGAUAACAUAACAUCCAUUCUGCAGCCUGUGAACCAAAACGUAAUUUCAACUUUCAAGUCGAUUUGCUUCUCCAUAUAUACUUUAUAAUUCAUGAGAGAAGUUCAAAAUAUCAACAUUAACAGGAAUUUGGAAAGAGUUGAUUCCAAUACUCACGAAUGACUUUGAGGGGUUUAAGACUUCAGUGGAGGAAGUAACUGCCGAUGUGGUGGGAAUUGCAAAUGAACUAGAAUCAGAUGUGGAGCCUAAGAUGGCAUGGUCUUCCAAUAGAAGGCUGUUUCAUCUACAUUGAAAAUCUGUUGUGUAGUGUAGCCACUUCAUCAGUGGUCUUACCUCAGUCUUGUGGAGAACUUGCUGCAGCUUCUACACCAGCACUUGUUGCUUCAACUUGCACUUUUAUGUUAUGGAGAUGAUUUCUUUCCUAAAACCUCAUGAACCAACCUCUGCUAGCUUCAACCUUUCCUUCUGCAGCUUCCUCAGCCUUCAUAGAAUUGAAGAGAGUUAGGGCCUUGCUAUGGAUUAGGCUUUGGCUUAAAGGAAUAUUGUGGCCGAUUUGUAUCAAGACCACUAAAACUUUCUCCUUAUCAGCAAUAAGGCUGCUGUGUUUUCUUAUCAUUUGUGUGUUGUCUGGAGUAGCACUUUUAAUUUCCUUUAAGAACUUUUCCUUUGCUUUCACAACUUCGUAGUUUGGCACAAGAGGCCUAGCUUUCAGCUUUUCUUGGCUUUGGACAUGCUAAACCCAACCAUUUCUAGCUUUUCAUUUAAAGUGAGAGAUGUGAGACUCUUCCUUUCACUUGGACACUUAGAGGGCAUUUUAAGGUUAUUAAUUGGCCUAAUUUCAGUAUUGUUAUGUCUCAGGAAAUGAAGAGAGAUCCAAGGAGAGGGAGAGAUGGGGGAUCAGCCAGUCAGUGGAGCAGUCAUAACACACAAAUUCAUCAAUUAAGUUUGCUGUCUUACAUGGGUGUGGUUCUUGGCAUCCUGAAACAAUUACAAUAGUAACAUCAGAGAUUAUUGGCCAGGCACGAUGGCUCACUCUUGUAACCCCAGCACUUUGGGAAGCUGAGGCUAGAGGAUUGCUUGAGGCCAGGAGUUUGAGACCAGCCUGGGCAACAUAGCAAGACCCUGUUUCUACAAAAAGAGCAAAAACAGAAAUAAACCAGCCAGUCAUAGUGGCAGGCGCUUGUAGUCCUAGCAACUCGAGAAGCUGAGGCAGGAGGGUCACAUGAGCCCAGGAGUUGGAGGCUGCAGUGAGCUAUGAUCACACCAAUGCACUCCGGUCUGGGCAACAGAGUGAGACCCUGUCUCAAAAAAAAAAAAAA
rnacentral:lncRNA from 1 species